GGGCGAAUAGCUCAGCGGGAGAGCACCUGCCUUACAAGCAGGGGGUCGGAGGUUCGACACCUUCUUCGCCCA
rnacentral:tRNA from 1 species